CCGACACAAUACUGUUCGAGGGAUGUGACUACAACCACUGGCUCAUCGUCAUGGAUUUCCCCAAGGACCACAAACCUUCCCUUGAAGAAAUGGUUCGUACCUAUGAGGAAACCUGUGCCAGGGGCUUAAACAUCAGUAUGGAAGAGGCAAAAAAGAAAAUUUAUGCUUGUAGCACAAUAACUUACAUAGGCUUUCAAGCUGUAAUGACCGAAGAAGAGUCAGAGAAGUUUAAUGGUAGUUUAAUGUGACACAAAAGUUUACUAUCGAAAGUUUAUGGAAGUUCAAUAGUCAUGAUCUUAACUUUUUGCCUUGAACAGGUCUACCUGGAGUUAUCUUUGUACCCCUGAUUCUUACGUCGAUCCACAAAACAAGGAGUAUGGAGGUAUUUAACAUGAACUUUUGUUUGUUUGUUACCAUAUCUAUUUGUUGUGUACUCAGUUGCAUUUAUAUCCAAUGAUUUUUAGAGAACUAGAUUAUAUCAUAGACUAUAAUUGGACCUGUGUAACACUUAUUUAUUUAUUCAAGUGCUGUAGGAUUAAAAAAAUAAUAAAAUGAAAAUAGAAAAACCUGAGACUUUCUCUUCAAUUAUCAGGGGAUAAAUACAUUGAUGGAACAAUCAUUCCAAGGCCACCUGUUUUAAGUGCCGUUUCUGACGAAGAAAUGCCCUUCGACGCCUCUUGCUAUUUCAGAAGCUGUGCCAAACAAUUCUUGACGGUGGGCAUAAUAUCUCCCUGCAAUCCACCAACAGUCUCCUCCAAUGUCCACACAAGAAACUGCGGUAACCCCAGUCCCUUUCUUGGUCAUCAUUACUUUUUGGUACUCCUUUGAUAUACACAGCAAUAUGGAUGAAUUUUUUUUUGCCAUAGGCCACUUGUAUUGAAUUUGGAAAAAUCAAGUCUAGCUUUCGAGAGGCUAGGAAUUCUCCAAGAGCAAGGCUCAAUUACAAAAUACCAAAAUGAAUCCCACUGCUUCUACGCAGUACACUAAUUAAGCAACAUUCUCUCCAAUCCCAAGGCCUAACCGAAAAAGGAAUUAUCCCCAAACUACCCUUGCUGAAACAAAUAAGGAAAUAAAUAGAAAAACAAUUACAGGUAAAAUACGUAAAUAAAGCAAAACUCUAUUGCUGCCUACGUGGCCUUGCGACUUAGCAUAUGUGAAUCAAAUACGUGGCUUAUCAGGGUUUAACAUUUUGUAUUUGUUCUAGCCAAAACUGAAACUAAAAGAAGAAAAGACAUUGUGUGUGGCACGUGCUUUUUCUUUUUCACUCAGUUAUGGAAUUCUUUUCUUGUCUCAUAUCACUGAAGAUAUUUCUGAUUCCCUUACCUUUUCAGAUGGUGUUCCAAAAGAUGGACUCAGGACACAGGAUGUUCUUGUUCGGAUUGCAGUUCUGAUGCUAGCAAGGGAAAAAGUUAAGUUUGCUUUAGAAAAUCCAGGAGCUCCACUUUAUGCAGAUGACAUUCAGUUGCGUUACCAAGGAUUGAAGGGUGGAAAGUUUUGGAAGGAAGAGCAUGAUUUAUUAUUACUGCGUGCUGUACUAAAGUAUGCAUCAUCAUGGGUAGCACAAUGGUAUAUUGAAAUAAAUUUCUGUGGAGCAAUACUAGACAAGUGCCCUACCAGCUGUCAUGUUCUUCUUCUCUGUGUGUUUCUCAAAAUCUCAUCUAUGGUUUUUAGUUUUCAGUUUCAUAUUAAUAAAUAUAUAUAUAUAUAUAUUUGUUGAAAUACAUGUGUUUAUUAUUUGUACUAUAUACAUUUACAUAUAAAUAUAUAUUAUACUAUUGCUGGAAAGGAAGGGAAGAUGGCAGAUUUUUAUGAUUUUCCCUCUUAAAUGUAUUAAAUUUAGGUAUAUGCAAUUCAUAGAUUGAAUAUUACUUUAAAUUAACGUCGUGGCUUAUACAUACAUGAUGAAUAAUUAGAAUAGGUCUUAUCCCCUUAUUCUUGUGUGCAGGGUAUUGACUCAAAGCAUCAGACCUCUCUCUUGUACAUUCUUGAGAAAAGCAAACUAUGACUGAAUAGUUGUACCUAUGGUAGUUGUACAUAAUCAUUAUCUUAUUCUUUUCUAAUCAUUUGCUUGUUCCUUUUUUAACACACACGUAAUGAUUUUAUUUCUAACUUUUACUUGCAUGAUACUAAUUUCUUCACUGUGAACUUUUGAAUCUUGAUUCAUCAAAUUGUCAAUGAUUUGAACAAAGUUCAUCUUGAUACAUUUUGUAGUCUCAUUAAGAGGCAUGCUUGCUAUUAAUCAUCUUGUGUCUAUAAAUACUAAGAAAUAAUCAUGGAUUGGUGCGGCCCAUUUUUCAUGUUUUAGAGAAUUAGGAAAUUCCAGCUAGUCAUGGGAAAGAUGUGACAGAUCCCUUCACUAUACGAGGUUGUUAGGUUGAAAUAGAGAGACACUGCUCCGAGCUUGCAAAAGUUGGUGUUGAAUUGGAACCUUGGGAAAAACAACUUAUUGAGCACAAGGGAAAACUUGAAGUUGCAUCUACCGAGAAUAAGCUUUUGAGUGAAAAGGAAGCUGCUCGUGCAGCUUUUGAAGAUGCGGAAAAGCAGAUGGAAGACAUAUUGGGAGCUAUUGAAACAAAAUCUGAGAGUAUCACAAAAAUUCAAAGUGAUCUUGAAAGGAGCAAACUCGAAGCAUUGGAAGCUCAUAAAGUGGAACAAGUUCGUGUUUUAAUGAUGUACAGGGAGGGGCUCGGCAGGGACGGUGGCUGGGUGUGGGGCUGGCUGGUGGGGUUCUCAACUUCAUGGCGGCAACAUGUAUAUCUUUAUGUGGUGUUGAACUUUAGUUUGGUGAUGUUAUGGUCUUAGAUUUUUCUUGAUAGCUCUCUUAUUUUAUUGUUCAUCUGAAAAUUCCCUAGCUCUUUCUUGAUAGCUCUCUUAUUUUAUUGAACUAAAAUAGAUAAGUAUUUAUCUUAGUUUUCCAUUUUCUUCUUUUGAAGUUUUCAAUGUAUCAUUUAAGAAAAGACUGUAAGUUUGUUGUUGUGGUGGCAAGAACUUUUACUCUGUUCUGGGAUAACUCUCUCAACUCAGUAUACUUGGGCUUUUGUUGGCUUAUCAGUCACAGAAGUGAUCACUGCAAGCAUAACAGUUGUUAUAAGUCCUUUCUUUCAUUUUCUCUCUCUCUCUCUCUCUCCAUUUCUAAAUGUUGAUAUUUGUUUGUGUUUCUCUUAUAGAUACUGAAUUUUUUGCUUCUGUUGCGAUCUUUAAUGGUGAUAGGAACAACCUUGAAUUACUUUUUAGACAAUAGAAUUAAUAGAGCCGAGAUCCUUUUCCCUGGUGUGGCUGCUUCUUGGUUGCAGUUUGCCUUGCUUCUACUGUCCACUCAUCUAAUGCAGCUGAUAAUAAAGAAAAGCUUGAAGGUUUUUAAUCUAAAGAGGGAAAUUGGGCUAAACCUUAUAUUAAAGAUGCUAAAGAAGUUUCCAGGUGCAUUUUUAUUUUAUUGUUUUUCUUUAUGAUUUUGUUGUAUAAGAAGUCAAAGUGUUUUUAUUCUUUAAUUUUUUUGGGGAUAUAUUGACAGAAGUAAAAGUUCUGGAAUCAAUUCUUCCUCACAUACUUUUUUAUCAUUGAGAAUGAUAUAUUUGUUAUCUUGAUACAUUUCACAAGCCUUGUUUUAAGUUGCAUGUUUUGUUGUUUCAGUCGUUGUUUUGCAUGGUAGUACAUCUUGUUAUACCCUGCUGUUUCGUCAAGUUUUGGAGUUAUUACAAAUUUAAUUUAAACUAUGCUUACAGGUGGAAACUAGCUUAAGUCUUAUGUUCUUAAUAAUAAAAGGACUUUUUUUUUUUUUUACAAUGUGCAUGUAUAUUGAGAUGAUUUCUUUGGAGCAAUUCUUGACAACAUUUGUAGUUGAGGCCUUUAGAAUGGAAGAAUGUAUUUCACUAAUUUUUGUAUACAUUUCUUGUUUUGUAUUUAGUGAUAAAGGAAUCUGAAUUGGGCAUAAAUUAUGUUGUAAUAUGAUUUCUUAAGCCUAGACUAGUAGACUAAAUAUUGUAAUUACAUUUGAGUAAUUAAUAAAAAUCUAUUUAUGUUA